UCCAGGGUAGUUCAAAGGUAGAACGCUACGCUGUUAACGUAGAUGUUGAAGGUUCGAGUCCUUCCCCUGGAG
rnacentral:tRNA from 1 species